rnacentral:rRNA from 1 species
CCUACGGGUGGCUGCAGUGGGGAAUAUUGGACAAUGGGCGAAAGCCUGAUCCAGCCAUGCCGCGUGUGUGAAGAAGGCCUUCGGGUUGUAAAGCACUUUCAGUGGGGAAGAAAGCCUUGGGACUAAUACCCUCGAGGAAGGACAUCACCCACAGAAGAAGCACCGGCUAACUCCGUGCCAGCAGCCGCGGUAAUACGGAGGGUGCGAGCGUUAAUCGGAAUUACUGGGCGUAAAGCGCGCGUAGGCGGUCUGAUAAGCCGGUUGUGAAAGCCCCGGGCUCAACCUGGGAACGGCAUCCGGAACUGUCAGGCUAGAGUGCAGGAGAGGAAGGUAGAAUUCCCGGUGUAGCGGUGAAAUGCGUAGAGAUCGGGAGGAAUACCAGUGGCGAAGGCGGCCUUCUGGACUGACACUGACGCUGAGGUGCGAAAGCGUGGGUAGCAAACAGGAUUAGAUACCCCAGUAGUC